rnacentral:rRNA from 1 species
GGCCCCCUGUGAGUGAAAGAUGGGGGGUCUGACCUGCCCGGUGACAUGUGUUAAACGGCUGCGGUAUCCUAGACCGUGCGAAGGUAGCGUAAUUAUUUGCCCAUUAAUUGUGGGCUGGUAUGAAUGGUUUGACGAGGGUAUAACUGUCUCUUUGUAAUUAUGUGGAAAUUAUUUUUUGAGUGAAGAAACUCGGAUGUGGCUGAGGGACGAUAAGACCCCGUCGAGUUUAAGUGGGAUUUUGGCGAUUGUAAGCAUAUGUGGAAGUUACAAUAUCUAGGUGAAUCUUUGGUUGGGGUGACCGAGAAGUAAAAGAAACCUUUUGUUGGGGCUUGUGGCUUUUUGGUAAAGAUCUGACUUAUUAUGUAGAUAGGAAGAAUAAGUUACCGCGGGGAUAACAGCGUGAUCUUCUUGGAGAGCUCAUAUCGAGAAGAGGGUUUGCGACCUCGAUGUUGGAUUAAGAUUUCCUGGAGGUGUAGGGGUUUCCAAGGGUUAGUCUGUUCGACUAUUAAAAUCUU